rnacentral:misc_RNA from 1 species
GCUGCCAAGGAUAUCAGUUUUGGUAGCCACGCACGGUUAGCUAUGCUGCAGGGGGUUAAUGAGCUUGCAGAAGCUGUAAAAGUCACUAUGGGACCAAAGGGACGUAACGUGAUUAUAGAGAAAAGCCCUGGGAAUCCCAAGGUCACAAAGGAUGGUGUCACUGUAGCCAAAAGCAUCAACUUUAAGGAAAAGGCAAAGAAUGUGGGCGCUGAUCUUGUGAAGCAGGUUGCUAAUGCUACUAAUUCAGUUGCUGGAGAUGGUACCACCUGUGCAACUGUGCUUACUCAGGCAAUUUUCACAGAAGGUUGCAAAGCUGUUGCUGCAGGUGUGAGCGUGAUGGAUUUGCGUAAUGGUAUUAACAUGGCCAUUGAUGCUGUUGUUGCUGACUUGAAGAGCAGAGCAGUCAUGAUUAGCACCCCGGAGGAGAUUACACAGGUGGGUACUAUAUCUGCAAAUGGUGAACGUGAAAUUGGGGAAAUAAUUGCUCGAGCCAUGGAAAAAGUUGGGAAGGAAGGAGUUAUUACUGUUGCGGAUGGGAAUACCUUGGAUAAUGAUUUGGAAGUGGUGGAAGGAAUGAAGCUUGGCCGAGGUUAUAUAUCUCCUUAUUUUGUCACGGACGAAAAGACUCAAAAAUGUGAAUUGGAAAAUCCGUUGAUCCUUAUUCAUGACAAGAAAAUCUCAGAUUUGAACUCGCUUGUGCGGAUAUUGGAGCUUGCUCUUAAGAGAAGGAGCCCUCUGUUAAUCGUUGCUGAAGAUGUGGAAAGUGAUGCAUUAGCUAUGCUUAUCCUAAACAAGCAUCGUGCUGGGAUUAAGGUAUGUGCCA